rnacentral:rRNA from 1 species
AGAGUUUGAUCAUGGCUCAGAUUGAACGCUGGCGGCAGGCUUAACACAUGCAAGUCGAGCGGGGGAAGGUAGCUUGCUACUGGACCUAGCGGCGGACGGGUGAGUAAUGCUUAGGAAUCUGCCUAUUAGUGGGGGACAACAUCUCGAAAGGGAUGCUAAUACCGCAUACGUCCUACGGGAGAAAGCAGGGGAUCUUCGGACCUUGCGCUAAUAGAUGAGCCUAAGUCGGAUUAGCUAGUUGGUGGGGUAAAGGCCUACCAAGGCGACGAUCUGUAGCGGGUCUGAGAGGAUGAUCCGCCACACUGGGACUGAGACACGGCCCAGACUCCUACGGGAGGCAGCAGUGGGGAAUAUUGGACAAUGGGGGGAACCCUGAUCCAGCCAUGCCGCGUGUGUGAAGAAGGCCUUAUGGUUGUAAAGCACUUUAAGCGAGGAGGAGGCUACUUUAGUUAAUACCUAGAGAUAGUGGACGUUACUCGCAGAAUAAGCACCGGCUAACUCUGUGCCAGCAGCCGCGGUAAUACAGAGGGUGCGAGCGUUAAUCGGAUUUACUGGGCGUAAAGCGUGCGUAGGCGGCUUAUUAAGUCGGAUGUGAAAUCCCCGAGCUUAACUUGGGAAUUGCAUUCGAUACUGGUGAGCUAGAGUAUGGGAGAGGAUGGUAGAAUUCCAGGUGUAGCGGUGAAAUGCGUAGAGAUCUGGAGGAAUACCGAUGGCGAAGGCAGCCAUCUGGCCUAAUACUGACGCUGAGGUACGAAAGCAUGGGGAGCAAACAGGAUUAGAUACCCUGGUAGUCCAUGCCGUAAACGAUGUCUACUAGCCGUUGGGGCCUUUGAGGCUUUAGUGGCGCAGCUAACGCGAUAAGUAGACCGCCUGGGGAGUACGGUCGCAAGACUAAAACUCAAAUGAAUUGACGGGGGCCCGCACAAGCGGUGGAGCAUGUGGUUUAAUUCGAUGCAACGCGAAGAACCUUACCUGGCCUUGACAUACUAGAAACUUUCCAGAGAUGGAUUGGUGCCUUCGGGAAUCUAGAUACAGGUGCUGCAUGGCUGUCGUCAGCUCGUGUCGUGAGAUGUUGGGUUAAGUCCCGCAACGAGCGCAACCCUUUUCCUUACUUGCCAGCAUUUCGGAUGGGAACUUUAAGGAUACUGCCAGUGACAAACUGGAGGAAGGCGGGGACGACGUCAAGUCAUCAUGGCCCUUACGGCCAGGGCUACACACGUGCUACAAUGGUCGGUACAAAGGGUUGCUACACAGCGAUGUGAU